rnacentral:lncRNA from 1 species
CUAUCUCUUCCCUAUAUAGAAAUUAGCACAAGUAGUGAGGAGCCGUCAUUAACACAAGUAGUGAUGGACACGGCCUUGGUCUAGAUUUCUUCUUGGUUUUUCUGCACAGCUACUCUCAUCAGAUGAUUGUGCUCUAAAGGUCAAGAUCUUGCCAUAGUUUGCUGUGGAUAUGACCUCAAGCAGUGAAUAUUGGAUUUCCAUGUGUUCAUGAGUUGGUUCUCAUCUUGAAAGCAAGAAAAUGACCAAGUGGAGAGAGACUGAGAGCUUGAAUAUUCCUAUGGACAAUGGCCAGACCAUGGAUAAAAAUAGAACUGUGACCUAUAACCUCUGCAAUGACUGGCCCCAAAUGGUCAGGACUUGGUCAAUAACUAAUGGCUUCCCUAGUCCCUGCCCCCACUUCCAACUCAGGACCAACCAGAGAAAGUCAAAAUGAUCUCCAGACCAGUCACAGAGGAUGUCCUGCUUCUAGUAAGCCCACUCCCAGUUUACCCACAUCCACAACCUCAGAUUAGGGCAAACUCAUGCCUCUGCCUGCCUUUGAGUCUCUGCCAAAUGCAAGCAGUAUAACUCGUUUCAGUUGAGCUCUGAAAAUAACUUACAAUUCUCACUGGGACAAUCUUCAUUGAUUUCCACACUGUUUUAUUUUUUGUUUGUUUGUUUGUAUUUUAUAAUUUUAUUUAAUGUAUUUCUUUUUUUAUGUGAUGCUGAGGAUCUAUCCCAGUGCCUCUCAUGUGUAGGCAAGCGCUCUACCACUGAGCCAGCACCCCGGCCCUAGUUGCUAGUUUUAUACUUAGGUCUAUGGCAUUUUCGAGCAAGUUUUUGUAAACAACGUGAAACUUAAGUUUAUUUUCUUUGCACAUGAUUAUCUAUUUCUUAAAUCCAAUUUGUUGAAAAGAUUACAGUUACUCUACUUUGUAUCUGUGUUGAAAGUUAGUUGUCUAGAUGUGUGUGGGUCUAUUUCUGGACUCUAUUCUGUUCCAUAAAUCUAUCUUAUCUGUUUGUAUAACAAUAGCUCAUGUCUUGAUUGUCUUUAUACCAAUAGCUUCUGCCAUAUGAGGACACGGUGAAAAUGUGCCAUCUUUAACCAAAGCAGGUCCUUAACAGAUUCCUUCAUCUUAGACUUCCCAGACUCCAGAAUUGUGAGAAAUAAGCUUCUGGUAUUUAUAUACCCCAUGUAUGGUAUCUUGUAGUUAUGGAUAUACCCCAUGUAUGGUAGCUUGUGAACGAGCUCUCUUUGACCUUUUUAAAAAUUUUUAUUGUCUUCUUGUGACAGAGGGGUCCAGAAUAGCACCAAGUCUGUCUGUCUUCCUCCUUCCCUCUUUCUUUCUUUCUUUCUUUCCUAGGGAUUGAACUCAGGGAUACCUUGCCAGAAGUUACAUCCACAGUCCUUUUUAUUUUUUAUUUUGAGCUAGAAUCUUGCUAAACUGCCCAGGCUGGCCUCAAACUUGCAAUUCUCCUGCCUCAGCCUCCCAAGUCACUGGGAUUACAUUGAAUGUGCCUUUAGAAAACAAUAGCAUAUGCCUAUAAUCCCAGCUACUAGGAAGAGUGAAGCAGGAGGAUUGAAAGUUCAAGGCUAGCCUGGGCAUUUUAGCUUGAUCCUGUCUCAAAAAAAGAGAAGGGAUUGGGGAUGUG